AAAGUCGUAACAAGGUUUCCGUAGGUGAACCUGCGGAAGGAUCAUUAGUGGAGUGUGCACCUUGAGUGCACCAACUCUCAUUGACACCUGUGUUAUUGUAAAUGUUCGUGUGUUUGGUGUGUGAUGGGGAGUGAUCCCUAUCCGCACCAGCACACACCGUUUUAAACCUUAUUUCAAACCUCUGAUCCAAAACGUCCUUUCGUGGGACAUUCAAAAACAGUAAAACUGUUGGCAACGGAUCACUUGGUUCUC
rnacentral:misc_RNA from 1 species